rnacentral:rRNA from 1 species
AGUGAACGCUGGCGGUAGGCCUAACACAUGCAAGUCGAACGGCAGCACAGUAAGAGCUUGCUCUUACGGGUGGCGAGUGGCGGACGGGUGAGGAAUACAUCGGAAUCUACUUUUUCGUGGGGGAUAACGUAGGGAAACUUACGCUAAUACCGCAUACGACCUACGGGUGAAAGCAGGGGAUCUUCGGACCUUGCGCGAUUGAAUGAGCCGAUGUCGGAUUAGCUGGUUGGCGGGGUAAAGGCCCACCAAGGCGACGAUCCGUAGCUGGUCUGAGAGGAUGGUCGGCCACACUGGAACUGAGACACGGUCCAGACUCCUACGGGAGGCAGCAGUGGGGAAUAUUGGACAAUGGGCGCAAGCCUGAUCCAGCCAUACCGCGUGGGUGAAGAAGGCCUUCGGGUUGUAAAGCCCUUUUGUUGGGAAAGAAAAGCAGCAGGUUAAUACCACGCUGUUCUGACGGUACCCAAAGAAUAAGCACCGGCUAACUUCGUG